AGGAGCCAUAUGAGGUGAAAAUCUCAUGUAUGGUUUUGUAAUAGCGAUGGGAACAGUGAUGUCAUCACCGACUAUGAU
rfam:Populus trichocarpa isolate Nisqually-1 chromosome 13, whole genome shotgun sequence.